rnacentral:rRNA from 1 species
GACGAACGCUGGCGGCGUGCUUAACACAUGCAAGUCGAACGGAAAGGCCCUGCUUUUGUGGGGUGCUCGAGUGGCGAACGGGUGAGUAACACGUGAGUAACCUGCCCUUGACUUUGGGAUAACUUCAGGAAACUGGGGCUAAUACCGGAUAGGAGCUCCUGCUGCAUGGUGGGGGUUGGAAAGUUUCGGCGGUUGGGGAUGGACUCGCGGCUUAUCAGCUUGUUGGUGGGGUAGUGGCUUACCAAGGCUUUGACGGGUAGCCGGCCUGAGAGGGUGACCGGCCACAUUGGGACUGAGAUACGGCCCAGACUCCUACGGGAGGCAGCAGUGGGGAAUAUUGCACAAUGGGCGGAAGCCUGAUGCAGCAACGCCGCGUGCGGGAUGACGGCCUUCGGGUUGUAAACCGCUUUCGCCUGUGACGAAGCGUGAGUGACGGUAAUGGGUAAAGAAGCACCGGCUAACUACGUGCCAGCAGCCGCGGUGAUACGUAGGGUGCGAGCGUUGUCCGGAUUUAUUGGGCGUAAAGGGCUCGUAGGUGGUUGAUCGCGUCGGAAGUGUAAUCUUGGGGCUUAACCCUGAGCGUGCUUUCGAUACGGGUUGACUUGAGGAAGGUAGGGGAGAAUGGAAUUCCUGGUGGAGCGGUGGAAUGCGCAGAUAUCAGGAGGAACACCAGUGGCGAAGGCGGUUCUCUGGGCCUUUCCUGACGCUGAGGAGCGAAAGCGUGGGGAGCGAACAGGCUUAGAUACCCUGGUAGUCCACGCUGUAAACGGUGGGUACUAGGUGUGGGGUCCGUUCCACGGGUUCCGUGCCGUAGCUAACGCUUUAAGUACCCCGCCUGGGGAGUACGGCCGCAAGGCUAAAACUCAAAGGAAUUGACGGGGCCCCGCACAAGCGGCGGAGCAUGCGGAUUAAUUCGAUGCAACGCGUAGAACCUUACCUGGGUUUGACAUGGAUCGGGAGUGCUCAGAGAUGGGUGUGCCUCUUUUGGGGUCGGUUCACAGGUGGUGCAUGCCUGUCGUCAGCUCGUGUCGUGAGAUGUUGGGUUAAGUCCCGCAACGAGCGCAACCCUUGUUCACUGUUGCCAGCACGUUAUGGUGGGGACUCAGUGGAGACCGCCGGGGUCAACUCGGAGGAAGGUGGGGAUGACGUCAAGUCAUCAUGCCCCUUAUGUCCAGGGCUUCACGCAUGCUACAAUGGCUGGUACAGAGAGUGGCGAGCCUGUGAGGGUGAGCGAAUCUCGGAAAGCCGGUCUCAGUUCGGAUUGGGGUCUGCAACUCGACCUCAUGAAGUCGGAGUCGCUAGUAAUCGCAGAUCAGCAACGCUGCGGUGAAUACGUUCCCGGGGCU